rnacentral:other from 1 species
GGUUCCCUGUUUUGUGCGUGCCUAUAUGGGCACUAUUUAUUACCAACAGUAUUUAAAUGGGAAUUUUGCUCCGUGUGUGGCUGGCGUGCCUCGCGGUUGGUGCAUAUGUUGCUAACCAUAAUUUUUCGAGGAUUACAAAAGCACAUGGGCGGGUACCCACCUAGCGAGACUAGGUAAUUUAAAUACGCCUUGGGCACGGCAUAAUGGGGCGUUU